rnacentral:rRNA from 1 species
AAAACAACAGUCUCAGUUCAGAUUGUAGGCUGAAACUCGCCUAUAUGAAGUCGGAAUUGCUAGUAAUCGCGGAUCAGCAUGCCACGGUGAAUACGUUCCCGGGCCUUGUACACACCGCCCGUCACACCAUGAGAGUCGAUAACACCCGAAGCCUGUAGUCUAACCUUAGGGGGGACGCAGUCGAAGGUGGGAUUGAUAAUUAGGGUGAAGUCGUAACAAGGUAGC